CGGACGCGUUUUCUACCUUGCUGAGCGGAGCGCGGCGGGGAGGCGGAAAGGACGUGGUCGGGGAUUUCGGCCGUUUGCGUUUAACGUGUCUGAAAGGCAGGAGGUUGGGACUGAGUGUUUUAUUUGUUUUUCCAAUGUGAGCCACCCAACCCGAGCAAGCAAGAAGGCAAAAGCUAUAGUUGCUGACUCGUAUGAAUGAAAACGUUUAAAUAAUAUUUUAAACUAUGCUGGCUGGGUUUCCUUAUUGUGCAAACCUGUGAGGAGAUAGGUGCUUCUGGUUUAGUAAACGCCUGAUAAUGGAGAAAAAAGUUCCUCAGCAUGCAUAGAACACAUUUCUUAAACCAUGGAAUGUCUGCAGUUUCCUUCACAUUUUGAAUAAAGGAGCAAGACUAAAUUUUCAGAACAAAUAAUAAGAAUUUUCGUUCCCUCUUUUUGCGGAAAAAGAUUAUGAUACAGAUGCAAGGCUUUGGGAGAAAGUAUAUUAAAGCCUUUUUGAAAGGUUUUUUUGUUGCUGUUCCUGUGACUGUCACUUUCCUCGACAGAUUGGCUUGUAUAGCGAGAGUAGAAGGGACUUCAAUGCAGCCUUCACUGAAUCCAGUAGAACAGCAAGUAUCUGAUAUAGUGCUUUUAAAUCAUUGGAGUAUUCGGAAUUAUGAAGUACAACGUGGAGACAUGGUUUCACUUGUAUCUCCAAGAAACCCAGAACAGAAGAUCAUUAAACGAGUGAUUGCUCUUGAAGGGGACAUCAUCAAAACCAUAGGCUAUAAAAAGAAAUAUGUGAAAAUUCCACAUGGCCAUAUAUGGGUAGAAGGCGAUCAUCAUGGGCACAGCUUUGACAGCAAUGUUUUUGGUCCGAUCUCUCUUGGCCUUCUACAUGCUCGUGCUACUCAUAUACUUUGGCCUCCAGAACGUUGGCAAAAGUUACAACCCAAGCUUUUUCCAGAACGCCAGCCUCUCCAGCGUGACCAGGAAUGACUAGUUUGGAUCUGUUGGAAAACUUAUAAUUGAAUGUGAUAUGACUAUAUGAAAUGGCUGAUGGUGACACUUUUCUUAAUAAAAGAAAGGCAUUCCUUCACAAACACCACCUUUGGACUUUGCUGUACACCAAUAUAAAGCUUACUGAUAAAAGCCUGGAAGGACGAGAAAUUGGGAAGGACCUUUCAUUGUCUUGUUGACCACUGAGACUGCAAUUUGGACCACUGAAAAAGGUUGGACUCAUUACUCCUGAGUGAAAGGGCCCAUGCCAGCCCCAAAGGAGUGGAAGGUGGAAUCUCACCAAGGAGAUCCACUGAAGUUGACGAUCCGGAGAACCCAAUGGACUGAUGGGCAGUAAUGUUACCAGUGAGAAUAGCUUUCUUCAUUAUCUGGACUAUUUCUGUAUUUUUCCUUUUUAGGACUGAAUGAUUACCUAUGCUGUUUCCCCAACUGGAGAGGACUACAACUGAGCAGAUUCCAUUGCGCACCCUCCCAGACGUAUUGGUUUUGUAAUUGUGCUUGUGGAUGUUGUUGUUCUCAUUGCAUUGAGUGUGUAAUUUGUAUUGGGUGUAAGAUAGAGUUUGAAAAAGUAGAAUUCCCCAAAUUCCCUAAGAAAGUAGUAAACAUCUUUGUGCAAUUGUCUGAAGAAAUUGCCAAGACUCUUACAGUAAAGAAUUGUUUUGUAUGUGUGGGAACAAAUAUGGGAGAACAAUGGCCUUGGAAAUCUCAGGAAUUAAGUCACAGUAUAGUAGCUGAAAUGUGGAAAAAUAAAACUCUGAAAUUCACAAAAGGAAAGGAAGGGACAUAGGCCCUGACAACAAAUUUGGUAAGGGAAGUGUGAUGUGAGAGAAAGAUGAAAAAGAAGGGUACUAGAAAGGUAACAGUGGAAACAUGAUUUGUUUGACUGUAUGGAAUAGCAGCAGUUGGUUGGGAGGAAGUUGAACCACAAAGGAGGAGGCAUUAUAAUAAUCCUCCUCAAAGGAGGAGGAAAUAACUGAGGUGGCUUAUUUAAAGAAUCCUGAAAGUGACACCCUGGACUGGGUAGCUCUGGAAGGUAUGUAUUGAAUAUGUGGAAAGUAUGCCUAUGGAUAUUAUCUCAUCACCUAUCUCUAUUCUCAUCAACAAUUUAUAAGUUUUCGAAAUCAUGCCUUUUUCUUGGCCCAUCAAAAUUUUAUCUAAUUCUUGUAACUCACCAUUAAUACCCUUCCUAUCUCUGUCUUUUUUGUAUUUAGAUUGGAUCUGUAAAUAUGUCCACCAGUCCACUUGUACCCCUUGGGAGUUCAAUUCCUGUUUAGAUUUUAAUUUUCCUUGUACAUUUAGCAAGUCUUUAUAUGUUAGUUUUUUCGCAUAAUUAUAGAGUUUAGGGUAUGUCACUGCUUCUAAAGGUGAUAUCCAACACGGUAUUUUAAUAUAAUAUUUUUUACUAACUUUUUCCCAAUUUCGAAUCAAAAUAUUUCUUAUGUGUGUGUAUAGUUUAUUGAAUAGCCCGAAGGCCUUUUCAAACAAAACAGAAAAGAAAAAGGGAGAAAGGUAAAACGGUUACAAAAAUAGCAAUUUAAAAAUAUAUGAUAGAUGACGUUAAAAUUUUACAAUAUCAAUUUUCAAUAGCCAAGACUAGAUAACCCAAAUAGGAUAGCUCCUCUCUAACUGAGCUCAUCUUCCUUACAAUCGAUAAAAUGUUUUUUGAUAUAA